UUAUUUCAUAGUUCAUUGUUGAAAAAACGCCACAUGGGCGUUUGAAUCAUUUUAUGGUUUAAUACGGUGCAGCAUACGUGGGAAUGGA
rnacentral:tRNA from 1 species